UGCUAGCCGUCCCAACGGACCCCAAGUUGGUAUGCCACCACAUGAGGUAAAUGAUCGAGGGGAGAGUAAUCGUGAUUGCAAUGGCGAGCUGGUUGUUGAAAGCCAUUUAGAGGAGAUGAAUUUGUAAUGAAAACCCUAGGGAAGAGUAAGAGAGACGCUGACAUGGCAACUCAAGAUUAAAUAUUGAAAAGCUGAGGUGGACGGACACAAAGAGAAACCUCAAAUUGUCCCUUCUAUUAGUAGUCAUUUAAUUUAAAGACAUUACUAAGACUCUGUUCUUUUGCUAAACGCUGCGGCAACGACUGGUAAAGAAAAAAAAUAGUGUUGCUGGAGAGAAAAAUACAUAGAGAUGAGAGAAGUGUCGCAGAUGAUUAAAGGUGAUGAAGAUUGAUGAUUUUCAGCGAUCGAUGCAAUACCGUCGCGACUCAACAGACGUCAUUGGUGACUGAUUUAGAUCUGUAAUUUUCAAGCCCAUGAUAUCGCUUAACAUUGCUGCUACUCCGCUUGACACGUCGUUUUAAUCUGCCGCCGCCGCAACCGCAACGUUUAGCAAAAAAAUAGAGCCUAAGGUCAUCUCCAUCAAUGCAUCUUAUAAGUUUGCUAAUAAUAAACAGAAUAAAAAUAAUGUAAACAGCUUAAUUUUACUAAGCAUCGAUCGUUACAUAA